AGCACCCAGAAGACAAAGUGGACAUUUGACCAGAGCUAUGGAACACCCCAAGGACACCCAGUCCCAGUACCUGGCAGUUGAUGCUCACUUAUCAGCUGGAGGGGAGAGGCCAUAUGUGAUAUGGACCAGGGGGCACAUGAAUACGGAUGGGACAGUCUAAUCUUCCAACACCUCGCAUCCCCAAGGUUCUUUUAGACACUAUGUGUGAUCACCACCAGGAGUCUCAGGAUUAUUCCUCCUCACUGGUCUUUCCCAGGGAUUAGGCUGUACCCCGCUCCUAUAUCUUAGAGGGACUGGGGCUGUGGGCAUCACCCAGGGUAUGGGAUAAGUGCCCAUCUUGAAGGCUGGUGGCACUUCUCAGAGCCAGGCUGUCUGACUUCACUGUACUGCCUGCUUCUCCCUUCUUGCCCAACAGCUGAAGGCCCCUCUUCCAGCCAAGCAGCAGUGGUGAAGUAGACGUCUCAUGGGACUGGGCUGGAGGUGGACUGGCUGAGCUCUGGCUCUCACACCAUCAGUAGUUUGGGUUAGAAGCUAAGUCCUUUGUGGCCCCGGUGACCAGACCUCUUCUUGCCCCUCAAUCCUAGCUCAGAUCGCAGCUCAGCCUCUACCCUCUUUCCACAGUCCAUCGUGACGCU
rnacentral:lncRNA from 1 species